rnacentral:misc_RNA from 1 species
AACGCACCUUGCGCUCCUUGGUAUUCCGAGGAGCAUGCCUGUUUGAGUGUCAUUAAAUUCUCAAUCUCUACAACUUCUGUUGUUUAGUAGAUUGGAUGUGGAGGCUCUUUGUGUGGGAUGCAAAUCCUUCACUCCUCUUAAACAUAUUAGCUGGAAUGCCUCUGCAUAUCUGACUAUCAGUGUGAUAAUUAUCUAUGCUGUAGUUGUUGCAUGAGGGUAUCUGCUUCAUUAAUCGUCGCAAGACAACUCUAAUGACCAUCUUGACCUCAAAUCAGGUAGGACUACCCGCUGAACUUAA